UACGGAGGGUGCAAGCGUUGCUCGGAAUUAUUGGGCGUAAAGGGUAGGUAGGUGGUCUUAUUUGUUUGAGGUGAAAUCCUUGGGCUUAACCUGAGAAGUGCCUCAAAAACGGUAAGACUAGAGUUCUGGAGAGGGUCGUGGAAUUCCCGGUGUAGCGGUGAAAUGCGUAGAUAUGCGGAGGAACACCGAUGGCGAAGGCAAUCCCCUGGGCCUGCACUGACGCUCAUGCACGAAAGCGUGGGGAGCAAACAGG
rnacentral:rRNA from 1 species